ensembl:lncRNA
GACCCAGUGAUGCCCAUAUAGGACCCAGUGAUGCCCAUAUAGGACCCAGUGAUGCCCAUAUAGGACCCAGUGAUGCCCAUAUAGGACUCAGUGAUGCCCAUAUAGGACCCAGUGAUGCCCAUAUAGGACCCAGUGAUGCCCAUAUAGGACCCAGUGAUGCCCAUAUAGGUCCCAGUGAUGCCCAUAUAGGCCCCCUCCUGGCUGUGCAACAAAUCAUCCCUGACUACCACUCAUCCAGGAUACUGACUACCACUCAUCCAGGAUACUGACUACCAUUCAUCCAGGAAACUGACUACCAUUCAUCCAGGAUACUGACUACCAUUCAUCCAGUAUACUGACUACCACUCAUCCAGGAUACUGACUACCACUCAUCCAGGAUACUGACUACCACUCAUCCAGGAUACUGACUACCAUUCAUCCAGGAUACUGACUACCACUCAUCCAGGAUACUGACUACCACUCAUCCAGGAUACUGACUACCACUCAUCCAGGAAACUGACCACCCCUCAUCCAGGAUACGGACUACCAUUCAUCCAGGAUACUGACUACCACUCAUUUUUGUGGGCUGACCCCACCAACCCCACCAGAUUAUUCCUUUAUGUUUUAAAUAAAACAUCAAAUCUGUCUGGCAACAAAAAAAUCCACUGUGUCUGCAGGGAUGUACUGGUGGAGUGAGGGUAGAUGGCGAGAGGGAAAAGGGGGGAGGUUGAGAGAGGUUAGAUAUAUACUGCUCUACCACAGAGAGCGAAAGAUACUGCUCUACCACAGAGAGAGAAAGAUACUGCUCUACCACAGAGAGAGAAAGAUACUGCUCUACCACAGAGAGCGAAAGAUACUGCUCUACCACAGAGAGAGAAAGAUACUGCUCUACCACAGAGAGAGAAAGAUACUGCUCUACCACAGAGAGAGAAAGAUACUGCUCUACCACAGAGAGAGAAAGAUACUGCUCUACCAUAGAGAGAGAGAGAGACUGCUCUACCACAGUGAAGGAAAGAUACUGCUCUACCACAGAGAGGGAAAUAUACUACUCUACCAUAGAGAGAUAUAUAUGCUGCUUUACCACAGAGAGGGAAAGAUACUGCUCUACCAUAGAGAGGGAAUUAUACUACUCUACCAUAGAGAGAGAGAGAUACUGCUCUACUACAGAGAGGGAAAGAUAAUGCUCUACCACAGAGAGCGAAAGAUACUGCUCUACCACAGAGAGAGAAAGAUACUGCUCUACCACAGAGAGAGAAAUAUACUACUCAACCACAGAGAGAGAUAGAUACUGCUCUACCAUAGAGAUGGAUAUAUACUGCUCUACCAUAGAUAGGGAAAGAUACUGCUCUACCAUAGAGAGGGAAUUAUACUACUCUACAAUAGAGAGGGAUUGAUACUGCUGUACCACAGAGAGGGAAAGAUACUGCUCUACCCAAUAGAGGGGUAGAUACUGCUCUACCACAGAGAGGGGUAGAUACUGCUCUACCACAGAGAGGGGUAGAUACUGCUCUACCACAGAGAGGGGUAGAUACUGAUCUACCACAGAGAGGGAAAGAUACUGCUGUACCACAGAGAGGGAUAGAUACUGCUCUACCAUAAAUAGGGAAUGAUACUGCUCUACCAUGAGAGGGAUAUAUACUGCUCUAACAUAGAGAGGGAUGGAUGCUAUUCUACCAAAGAGGUUUGAGAGAAUGAUCCCGUAUGUCCUAUUGCACAUUAGAGGUCUGUGGCAUCAAUUAACCCAAACUGCCACUGUGGAGAAUCACCAGUAAAAAUUAUGCUAAGAUCCCGAACAGCAGCAGUCAUAGCCCAACAUGGGUAUGGAGUCUGCUGGGUGCUGGGGGAGUGCUUGGUGCAUGUGUGUGUUCAGGCAUGCUGUUAGUGUGUGUAUAUUCAGGCAUGCUUUUGUGCAUGUCUGGGUGAUGAGAUUAGCCUUUCUUUCAGUGCUAUCGAAGCCGCUCCAUUAAGUGUGGAAGUUGUCUGCUUCCCCAAUGGCACCCUGAUCAUUGUGUUGAACUAGUUAUGCCAUGUAGUUUAGCAGCAUUGAUAGAAAGGUCACAGUGGUAAACCAGUGUUCCUGUAACCCUAUGCUGUUGCAGAGUGAAUGCUUCCUCUUUUUAAACUUUAACUGUCAAAUUCAGUUGGAUCACUGCAAUAGUGAUACUAUUUUCUCCAUUAAUGUAUUGUUAAUUAUAUUCUUAGCUACCAAUAAAUAAUUUAUCUGCAGUGGCAGUAAUUCAUAAAGGGCAACAUUGUUUUCUUGUGUUGUGAUUGAAGGUUUUUACAGGGUUCUAUAAAGAAAUGUUCUCCUUACGGUAUGAACAUCCAUGCUCUGGAUUGGACUGUUUGCUAAAGCACUACAAUUAUAAUUUAAACAUGUAUAUUUAGUUUAAAAUGCAGAGCAAAAUCAGAAUAUUAUGGAUUAGAAAUUCUUGAAUUUUAAAGCAGCACAAUGUAAAGACAUAUAAAAAUACAAACCGCAACCGAUUAAAAAAAUUAAAAUGAAACACAGAUUCAUUAUAUUUUUACCCAUCCUGAAAAAUAGUCAUAUUCUAGAUGGUUUUCAGCACUGAGUGUGGACUACCUUCAGUUCUGAGUAGUUCUCCUUGGUUCUGGCUCAACAUGAGGUUUUCUGCUGGUCCGGGUGGAGAGAGCAUGGUCGAUUCUCCAUCCUCUCAGCAGGCUUCACAGACAUACCGGCAUCACAGACACACACACACUCAGACACACACACUCAGACACACACACAUACACAUACACACUCAGACACACACACACAGACAUACACAAACAUACACACACACUGGGCUUCUAAUAAUAGUAGAGCUGUUACCAAGGAGCAAUCAGAAGUGAGACUAUGUUUUAUUUAUUUAUUUCACUCAAAUGGAUUUUCAUUUUUCUGGUCGGUGUUCUGAAUGCAAUCUCCUGAAAGGAAGCUUGAUAUUGCUCCCUCUCUCUCUCCCUCUCUCACUCCCUCUCCCUCUCUCUCUCCCUCUCCCUCUCCCUCUCUCUCUCCCUCUCCUUCACUCUCUCUCCCUCUCCCUCAUGUCUCUCCCUCUCCCUCUCUCUCUCCAUCUCCCUCUCUCUCUCCCUCUCCUUCACUCUCUCUCCCUCUCCCUCAUGUCUCUCCCUCUCCCUCAUGUCUCUCCCUCUCCUUCACUCUCUUUCUCUCUCCCUCAUGUCUCUCCCUCUCCUUCACUCUCUUUCUCUCUCCCUCUCUCUCUCCCUCUCCUUCACUCUCUGUCCCUCUCUUUCUCUCUCCCUCAUGUCUCUCCCUCCUUCCCGCCUUCUCUUUGUUUUCCUAUUUCUCCCACUGACCCCCUGUCACCCCAUCAUGUUUUCAUGCAUGUCCUCUGUAAGAGGGAAUAAUGGGAACAUAUUUCCAUUUUUCUGGGAAGCACAGGAGCAAGUCAUCUUUUCCUCUAUAGUUAGGUUUCUGUCAAUCAGUUGGACAUUAAUAGAAUAUUCAGAGUAUUAGGACAUUUCUUGGGUUUUUUCUAAACAAAAAAUAGAAUGAGUUUUCCCUGAAAAAUAGAAUGAGUUUCUAAAUGUUAAGUGCUGCAUCAGCUCUAUGGAUCUGAUAAGGCGUAUUGUUCCUUACUAACUUUCUAAAUAUUAUGUACAAUUUGGCACUGUUUCAUCUUCUCAUUUUUAUAUAAUUUCCU